rnacentral:rRNA from 1 species
GACGAACGCUGGCGGCGUGCUUAACACAUGCAAGUCGAACGGAAAGGCCCUGCUUUUGUGGGGUGCUCGAGUGGCGAACGGGUGAGUAACACGUGAGUAACCUGCCCUUGACUUUGGGAUAACUUCAGGAAACUGGGGCUAAUAUCGGAUAGGAGCUCCUGCUGCAUGGUGGGGGUUGGAAAGUUUCGGCGGUUGGGGAUGGACUCGCGGCUUAUCAGCUUGUUGGUGGGGUAGUGGCUUACCAAGGCUUUGACGGGUAGCCGGCCUGAGAGCGUGACCGGCCACAUUGGGACUGAGAUACGGACCAGACUCCUACGGGAGGCAACAGUGGGGAGUAUUACACAGUGAGCGGAAGCCUGAUGCGGCAACGCCGCGUGCGGGAUGACGGCCUUCGGGUUGUGAACCGCUUUCGCCUGUGACGAAGCGUGAGUGACGGUAAUGAGUAAAGAAGCACCGGCUAACUACGUG